AAUCUAUCUAAAUUAUUUUCAAUAUAACCUGUAAUAUUCUCAAACUACUCUUCGUUUGAAGAAUUUAGUAAAGCAUCCUGACAUUUAUUAAUGUCUCUAUCUAAUUCUUUUAAUUUUUCCUUCCUUCUCUUAAUAAUUAAAUGCAUGCUGGUAAUAGAAAAAUCUUCUAGCAUGUCGUUCCAUUCUGACAUAAAUUGAUCAUUGUCC